AAGACCAUACUUUCAGGGAUCAUUUCCAUAGUUCAUUACCAAAGAACUUUCUCUGAACAUGUAGGGCACUGGAAACCACGAGGAGUCAGCACAGCCUUCUUUCCUGAGCUGGCCUUUCCCUCUGCAGGGGCCACUCUGCCACAGGGGCCAACCAAAGUCAGCCUUGGCUGAUGCUAGAGACCAUAAAGUGGU
ensembl:snoRNA U3 Small nucleolar RNA U3